CCUGAACCGGGAAAAUCGAACAACAGUCCAGAACCGGUCUAACUCGUUGAGUAACUCGGAGAGCAGCAGAUCCAGUACAAACCUCUUGGUGUUUUACCAAAUGCAAUUGCUGGAGAAAAAGCUUUGGCCCAACACUGAAAGGGGUCGACCACCACCAUGCGUAUUUGUUGCUGUUUAAAAAGGGAGAUAAAGAGUUGACAAUGACUUGGAAAUGAUCCAUGUCUUUCGAGAUAAUGCCUGGUGGAAUCAUGGGAUUUUGAGCUCAGCAUGUUAAUCUGCAUAACUUCCGUAUCCCUGAAGUAAGAAGAUCAAGUUGCUCCACUAAUUCUACAGUUCUACCUUGGGUUAUUAGCAUGAGGAGAAAAGUUGAAUUUGGUAACAUAAAUUAAUUACUUUUCGAAAGGUGCCUUAUUUAGAAAGUAAAUCGGUAACAACUUUAGAUGUUGCCUGCAUUCGUACUAUGAUUUAUCAAAUCCAUGUUUAGCCUUUUAUUAUAACUUUGUUUCUCGGGGAAUAAUAUUCAAUUAUCAUAACAGGUGCAGCUUUAGAACUAUUUUAGGCUCUUUCGCGUUGCCUUUGUGAAGACACAGACUAGAAAGAAAAAGAAAAAACAUAAAAAAACAGAAAGUCUGAUUUAUAUUUCUUCUAAUAUGUCAAAAUUUUAGUUUGUUUAUCAUUUUGAAUUGUUAAUUUAAAUUACAUAUCUGAAUUCUUUAACGCCAGAAAAGACAUAGAUUGCACUGUUGUACCGAGAUCUGCACAUCAUAGGAUAAUGUCAGUUUUAUGUUAUCUCUGUAAUUGCAUCCAAUUAACUCAACUUCUGAAUUGAUGCUCUAUUGAUUUCUAAUAUGAGUUUUUCUUUUAAUGUAACCCCUACGCGAACGCAUUUUUUGCUUGUAUCUCAUUUUGCUUGCAUCUAAUUUUGCUUGCAAAGAGGUCGCACUUGGUGCGAUGGCAAGUGCCUUCGCCCAUGAGUUUUCUUGGUCCCCCACCUACAGGACUGCAUUGUUCUUUUUCCUUCAAACGUGGCCCAAGGUCUAGUAUGAUGAACUAGGGAAGAAGAAAAGGAAGAAAUAGAACGAAAACCGAGUGCUGUCAGUGGCGUACAAAAGACAUAAUUGCUUUAAAGUAAUAAGUAAAUGGCCCCAAGCAUGCCAAAGUUAUGCAGGAUUUCUUUUAUCUCAGAAGAUGAUGAGUAAGAACUGUGCAACAAAUUAUUGUUGUUGAAUACUGCUUUUGUUUCUUGUUGUCACAGUUGAAGUUCAUAUCAUUUAUUGCUUUAGUGUGCCCUUGGAUAGAAUAGAUUGUUCCAUGAAGCUCUAUUCGAUUAUAUCAUUCUAAUUCUCGAACGAGAUUAUACGUAUAUAGCCUGUUUGCUUUUAGCAGUUGGUGCCAUUUGGAGUCUGCAAUUACCCUAACCCUAAAACCCAAAGGUAAGGAUGAUGAUGAGGUUGCCCACUUAACCAAAAAAAGGAGAAGAUUUUUAUUAUAUGACCCGAAAUGGUGUAUUCUGGGUGGGAAAGAGGUGGAAGUAGUGGCAAGAAACUUUAUGGAACAUAUUAGUCAUAUCAAGCACUGUUUUUCCACUAAAGUAUGUUCUUCGUCUGCAUUUCUUCUAAUCGAUUGGAACAUUUUAGUUGUAUUCAAAUAUAGAAAACCCUAGAAACCGUCAUUGCUAAAAACUUCGAACCAUUUGUGAUGAUCCGUCUGUUACAGUAGUGUUCAAUUAGUUCAUAGAGUCCAUUGAAAUUUCCCUUUCUAGGCACCUGGACUUUUUGCAGGGGUUUAGCUCAACUUAGACCAAAACAUGAGUCAUCUGCUGUAUGUUAAAGACCAAACGAAUGAUGUGGAUUUUGUAUGUUUCAGAGGAAACACAAACAAUGCAAAAUUCAGGUUAUGGAUUAUGAUAGAUGAUUCAUCCAGAACAAGAUAACGCUAUUUUAUAAAACACCUGCACUCUUUAGUCUAAUGCUCUAAUACUAUUAGGUCUAGUUGUCAUGAGAUUAUUAGCCUAACCACGUAUUUAGCUGAUAAGAAAGUGCAAAUACUCGGUUAAAUUUCACCAAAGGCCGAAAUUUUCGGCCAAUUAAUGAUUCUCUUCCCACUAAGUCUAAAUUAAUAUACAUCUUUGUUGUAUCUUUAGCUUAUACUGGCCUAAGAAUGCCAUCAUAGAAAACCCUUUGAUUAAUUGUUGUAUUAAAUAAUGAUUAUGCAUGAUAAAUUAAAAAAUUAUGGUGCUAAUGUGUUGAUGCAUUCAUUCAUUCACUUUAUCUAUGUGCAUGAAUCCUGACCAUCAAAGUAUUGAGGGGACCAUGUGUUGCUGCUUAGCAGAAAGGGAAAGUUCACCCCUUCUUUUCUUUCUUUUGUGCUGGAAUGUUGAUGUUCUGAGUUGCUUUUAUUGAUGGUUUUACAAAUUUUUAAUUCACAGAAUUGAUAACCACACACCGAUUUUCUCCCUCGAUGCUCAUGUUUGAUUUUGCUUCUUGUUUCUGUUAGAUUUAUUCAAUCCGAUGAGUCCAUGUAAUCUCCUUUUUAACUUUUUUGACUUUUUUGGCACUAUGUUUUGCUUUGCAGAGGUAGGCCUAUGUUGCCUUGAUUAUCUGUUGCUUAAAGCCUCCCCCCGUGUGGCACAUCUAUAUGAACUUUGGUUCUUCUCCAAUACAUUUCCAGAACCCUGUUUCUGCAACUUUUGUUCUGUCAGUGCUUAGAAAACGAAAUCAUUGGAACACUUUGGAUCCUUCAAUCUUUAUCUUUUUGUUUUUCCUAUUUUUUCUUAUAUGGUACAUACU